rnacentral:misc_RNA from 1 species
CCAGCCAAUCGAGUAGCGAGUUCAAGUGAUUGAGCGUUGUUGAUGAUGGAACCGGGGACGGCUAUGCUCACUGUAGGUUUCCCCUUAGCUUCGGUCAAUUCUUUCUCGGUCUCAAUUCUUUCCUUUUUCUUUUUCUUCUUCAUCUUCCUAUGACAAUCGCCAUUACUGAGCUCCUCGAACUCAAGCUCGUUUCUCUCUGCUACUUCUGCUCUUUUCUUCUUCUUCACCAUUCCUUUUUUUUCUGCUGGGAUUUAUAAACGCGCGUUUGACGGUUUUCUAGAGAGGGUUUAUUAGGAGC